UCCAUCUCCAUCCUGGGUCCUCAUCCCAUCCCCAUUCCCAUUCCCAUCCUGGCUCAUCCUGGUGCCUGUCCUCAUCUCCAUCUCCAUCCUGGGUCCUCAUCCCAUCCCAUCCCCAUUCCCAUCCUGGAUCAUCCUGGUGCCUGUCCUCAGUUCCAUCUCCAUCCUGGGUCCCCAUCCUGUCCCUAUCCCCAUCUCCACCCCCAACCCUGUCCCCAUCCCUGUCCCCAUCCCUGUCCCCAUCCCUGUCCCCAUCCCUGUCCCCAUCCCAUGCCCGGUUGAUCCAGCCCCUGGAAAAUCCCUGCCUCGCUUUUUCCACCCGGUGCUGGUGAGGGAGGUGUUGGUGGCCAGAGGGAAUGAGGGAGGGGAAGGCUCCUGUGGUCCCAUCCUUGGGGAUCCCAGACCCCUGGAUAACCCAGAUGGAGCACCCCAGAGUGGGAUAAUCCAGGCAGGCACCACCACGAGCUCCUUCUGCCCUACAGGAGCCAGGGAGAAGCUCAGGAAGGACCAGCCUGAGGGACGACCCCAAGGAAAAGGUCACCCUCGGUCCCCCAGGUCCAAAGGGCACCAAGGGCGAGCGGGGCCUCCCUGGCACCGCCGGUGGCAAAGGGCAGAAGGGCGACCGUGUGAGUGUCCCUGAUGGCCCUGGCCUGUCCCUUUUGCUGGGGGACCGCUCCCUGCGGGGUCCCCGGCAC
rnacentral:lncRNA from 1 species